rnacentral:rRNA from 1 species
UACGGAGGGGGCUAGCGUUGUUCGGAAUUACUGGGCGUAAAGCGCACGUAGGCGGCUUUGCAAGUUAGAGGUGAAAGCCCGGGGCUCAACUCCGGAAUUGCCUUUAAAACUGCAUCGCUAGAAUUGUGGAGAGGUAAGUGGAAUUCCGAGUGUAGAGGUGAAAUUCGUAGAUAUUCGGAAGAACACCAGUGGCGAAGGCGACUUACUGGACACAUAUUGACGCUGAGGCGCGAAAGCCAGGGGAGCGAAUGGG